UAUUUUGGAGUCUUUAAAUAAGCAGCACGGCAGAGCAGCCUGCACCGCACAGCGGUGUGGUUGUAUAACUCGUGUUUCACCUCAGCUGAACUUGACGCAUCUGGUUCACCGGCGGCGCGAGUCGCACGGUGCAGUCUGCUGUGUGUCCCCACUGAACCGAGCUGGAUGGCCGGCCGAGAGAGACGCGGGGAAAGAAAGGGGGGGAAACGCAACACUUUCGUGGCAUAGCAUCGGCUCUCGGAGACCGAGUCUCGGGAUGACUCCUCCACAUCUCAGUCUGCAAAUAUUGUCCCUUUCUUGCUUUUUUAAUUUCCUGCUGUUUCGUGGCUCCAGACACAAAAAGGAAGACGAGUCACCGUGGGCUAAAGGAAAUAUAAAGCCGGCCGACUUGGACACGCCGGAGCAGACCAUCCAACUUGAACUUGAGACGAAUCGGUGCAGGGCAGCAUAUCGAGGAGGACGAGAACCCACAGGGCCUCAAACAUUGUAAAGCAGAGAGGAUAUGUGGACAUACUGUGUGCAGCCACGGAUGGGUCCAGUACAGCCGCUUCAUCCAGGAUAGCUCAUUGCUGUGGUGUGGGCCAGUUACUUCAAAGUCUCAGUGGAGUCAUUACUUGGGAGUGACUUUAUUUCUCCGUGCCAGACAUUGAUAUCAAGCAUCGAGACGAGGAAACCUGAGAGGAGGCGAGUUGACAGACCGCACAGACCUGCUCAGGGAAGAUGACCUGCCAAGCUCAAGUGACAUGCAGAGGAAGUGUUUUGAGUGUAUUUUGUUUUGUUUUUUAAUUACCAUACAUUUCACAUAUUAAGCCUCUCCUUUAAAUGUAUAUAAAAAAAAAUAAGGAACCUCAUGAUCAGCUGGGGCCUUUCUGCAUGGAUGUCCUCCAUGUGCCUGUGUGGGUUUUUCUGGGUACUUUCCUCCCACAGUGCAUCUUAGGUUGGAUAAAUAGUGAUUAGAAAUGUGUCUGUGGGUGUGGAUGUGAUUGUGAGAUGUGUGUCUGUGUGUGUUAAACCUCUGAUAGACUGGCAGCUGGGUCAGGAUUUAACAAGUUUAGAAAAAAACAAAAACGGAUUGAACAAAACAGAAAUAAAAAUAUGUUUAAUUUCUUAAAAUGUAAAACAAGCACUUUUUUGGACAUGCAGUGUUUUAUCUGUGAAUUAAGUAAGUUUAAGUGCUGCUUCAUGAUGAUGAUGUUUUGCUAAGACUACAGAACUGGCUUUAUUUAAAAUUACAAACAUUUAAUUAUGUUACCGUUUUCACAUGACAUUGAAUAUAGCUGCCUACAUUACAUACAGUACAAUACACUAACAGUACAAGCACACAGAAGUUCAGCCUUGACCUUUGGAACGAUGACAAAAUCAACUUUAUGAAGAUCCACCUGUUUUUUCUGCCUUUAAUUGGAUGCUAUGGUUUUCAUCGGCACAUUUGUGAUGCUGUUGUUUUAUUACAUUGAAUUGUGGUUGAAUUUUAUACACUUAACUCCACCCAUUACAGCUUAUCUGUAGUUAGUUUUUUUUAAAGUCUUGUCCUAAUUUCACAAAGGUCAGUUGUGGUUGAGUUUCUGUUCCCACAGGUCGACUGGGUGCGACUGGAGAGCCGUGCGAGAGUUAAACUGUCCUUUGGGGUGAGGUAGUAGGUUGUAUAGUUUUAGGGUCAUUCCCAAGCUGUCAGAUGACUAUACAACUUACUGUCUUUCCUGAAGCGGCUGUAAUAACAUCAUCUUCAUCAUCGUACCCGAAAGAGGAUAAGAAGCAUGACUUUUGAAUUUGGACUCGUUUGUUUGUUUAACCUAAAAUAAUAUGCAGAUUUUUGUGGGAAAUUGUUCUCUUCUUAUUGAUGCUUCUUGUUGUGUUUUUUAAAAUUAUUUUUUUUAAAAAAAGGUAAGUUCUGCUAGUCUGAAGUUGUAACCAGUGAAGCUUGUUCUCACAGCGUGUAGUAAAUUUAGCAAAGUAAUGUGAAAUCUAGCCACUUUUACUUUUGCAGCUUUUUCAUGUAACUUUUCCUGCAAGUGCUUCAACAGUUCAAGUGCAUCCUUUUAUGUGCAGCGUGUAACAUUUUAACUGACAUUAUCAUGGCAACCCUCAUUGCAAUAAUAAAUAACAAAGUUGCUUUCAGUUUCAUUUAUGCAGCGAUGCGACUCGCGCACAAAUCCUCUCCUUACCCGCCUGGGUGCUUUAUGAUGUUCGUACAGGGUGAGGUAGUAGGUUGUGUGGUUUCAGGGUUGUGAUUUUACCCCAUCAGGAGCUAACUAUACAACCUACUGCCUUCCCUGGAGGGCAGCAAUACAUCACAGGAGCGCGCGCAUCUUUGUCAUCUUCCCUGCCUCUGAAAAAUGGGACAGUCUUGUUUACUAAGGCCCACAAAAGACUGGCAUUCGAUCUCAAGGGUUCACGUGUAUGGGUGAGUGGCGCUCACUCACACGACGCAUUUCAGAGAGACAAUCACUUUACACAUUUGUAACUCGCACUGGGAAGAUGGCAUAAACAAGGCAUUUAUUUAAUUUUAUUAGCAUUCAUGUUUUAAUAAUGCUUGUACUUUUCCCUCAGUAAUUAAAUAAAGACUGGACAAGAAAUAAUUGCUGAGCAAAUAAUGGCUGAAGUCUGAUCUUUGUGCUGAUAACAACUGUGCAACAGUAGAGUCUCCCUAGAUGGGAUAUUUUCUUCGAAAUGCUGCUUUAUUCUCUAAUCCCUUUAAGAAAAUCAUAAUGCCCUGAAAUUCUAAUCCCCAAAGCCUCUGUGUCUCAGGAACAUGUAUCUUUUUAUCUGUCUAGAAAAGUCUCCUAAAAAGCAUGCAUCAUUUCUCUUUUGUUCUUUAAAACAAAAAUCAAUUGCAUGGGAUUUCUUCCAAGUAAGAUGUUAAUACUGUGCAAGAUUAAAGGCAAGUAAAACUCCAGAAAACAAUUGAAGGUAGAGCAAACAGCCAAGAGUCAUGCUGUUUUAUGAAACCACACGUAGGAGUGCAGCUUUUGCUUUGAGUUUUCAAGCAACAUCCCUGACCAAAGCUGAUUAUGUAGCUCGCUGCUUAAAAACCAUUUCGAAUUCAGAAAAAAUGAGCUUGUGUUUCCAUCCCAGAUGGAACGGGAGACCAGGUGCCGAGGUAAAACCAAAGAAAAUCAUAAAUUAUCACCCUGCCAUUUGUUUGUGGGAGAACACGCUGAGCCACCAUGAGGGGUUUUUAUCGUCUACACUUACUGUGCAGGUCCACAGGAAAAUAUGACAGCCAAAAUAUCCUAUUGUCAUGCGUCAUUUCACAGUAGAUGGCGCCAGAUAUUAAAUGCGGUGUUGUUGCUUUGCUGGAGACGAUCACAGUCUACACUAAUUUGUUAGAUGUACUUUAAGACGGGCUAUAAAUUUCUAAGGAGUUGGCACAGAAUGAGGGUGUCCUGCUGACCUACAUGUAGGAGGUCCAGGCAGGAAAGGAGGGCUGCUUUCUGCCAACUAAAGUAACCGUACAGCAGCGCUGACACAACAUCGUGCUUAUGGUUGAAAUAAAGUUAAUUUUGCCACAGGUCAAGUAUGUGUUCCAUAGGGUCACAGUUAAAUAUCAAAAAUCUUCCAAGUGUACACCAUCAAAUAAAAAACACCAGCUGGUAGCCACAGUAUGACGUGCCAUUAGCACUAAAUUGUGAAGGGAGGAUUUUUGGAGCAACUGUUUUAAAAGCAAGUACACACGCCUACCUUAUUCAUGCUAUUAAAUGUGUUUUAAAGAAGAUGGGGAUUUUUUAAGGUGUAAAUAAAAAAAUGGCCAUGAUUUGUAUCCCAGUGUGUGGCUUAGUAGGUAGAAUGCCAUUCAAACACUUAGACAGUUGUUAUUUGGAUUGCAACUGCAAAUUAGGCUGACACUAAAAUGACCUUCACUUUCUUAUUGCUUAACUGUGAGCAGCAUAACACCAAGAGACAGACUUAUUUGUCAUUUCCCAGCAAUACUUGUCACCUGAAAUGUAUGGCUUCACACAAAUGCUACAAUAGAGCAAGUUUUACACUAAUGAACAAAAAGCUGUGAAAGAGAAGGUUUGGAAUUAGAAGCAAAAGUUCAUUCAGCUAGUUUGAUUGUUUUAAAUUGGUGGUGGGUGGGAUGAACCUUUAGACAAAUUACAAAAAAAAGCAAUGAGUCAUCAAUUUGCAUUUUGCUACAUCGAGCAUUUUUAUUACUGUGUAUUGUGCAGUUUAUUUUGUUUUCUUUUUUAAUAUAUGCUUCAGUGACGGGGGGUCACAAUGAUAACGUAGAGGUCUGAAAAAGUCAUGUAUCAAAUAUUAUAUACUUGGCCUUAAAGGGUUAAUAAGGUUAAGUCAGGGGUGUCAAAAAUCAUUUUACACUGUAGGCCACAUAUAUCCCACUUUGGGGGGUAAGUGGGCCAGACCAGUGGAACUCCAUGCCAGUGUAAAGAAGUUAAACCAUGAACUAAAUGCCACAGAUUUCAACAGUAUGUCUCAGUUUUUCUACACAAUAAAGAAAUGCUGCUGAAAAUGGAAGAAAUCUGUCA